GUUAGGGGGGUUUCCGCCCCUUAGUGCUGCAGCUAACGCAUUAAGCACUCCGCCUGGGGAGUACGGCCGCAAGGCUGAAACUCAAAGGAAUUGACGGGGGCCCGCACAAGCGGUGGAGCAUGUGGUUUAAUUCGAAGCAACGCGAAGAACCUUACCAGGUCUUGACAUCCCGCUGCCCGGUGUAGAGAUACGCCUUUCCCUUCGGGGACAGCGGUGACAGGUGGUGCAUGGUUGUCGUCAGCUCGUGUCGUGAGAUGUUGGGUUAAGUCCCGCAACGAGCGCAACCCUUGAUCUUAGUUGCCAGCAUUCAGUUGGGCACUCUAAGGUGACUGCCGGUGACAAACCGGAGGAAGGUGGGGAUGACGUCAAAUCAUCAUGCCCCUUAUGACCUGGGCUACACACGUGCUACAAUGGACGGUACAAAGGGCUGCAAACCCGCGAGGGGGAGCCAAUCCCAGAAAACCGUUCUCAGUUCGGAUUGCAGGCUGCAACUCGCCUGCAUGAAGCCGGAAUCGCUAGUAAUCGUGGAUCAGC
rnacentral:rRNA from 1 species